CCUACGGGUGGCAGCAGUAGGGAAUCUUCGGCAAUGGGGGCAACCCUGACCGAGCAACGCCGCGUGAGUGAAGAAGGUUUUCGGAUCGUAAAGCUCUGUUGUAAGUCAAGAACGAGUGUGAGAGUGGAAAGUUCACACUGUGACGGUAGCUUACCAGAAAGGGACGGCUAACUACGUGCCAGCAGCCGCGGUAAUACGUAGGUCCCGAGCGUUGUCCGGAUUUAUUGGGCGUAAAGCGAGCGCAGGCGGUUUGAUAAGUCUGAAGUUAAAGGCUGUGGCUCAACCAUAGUUCGCUUUGGAAACUGUCAAACUUGAGUGCAGAAGGGGAGAGUGGAAUUCCAUGUGUAGCGGUGAAAUGCGUAGAUAUAUGGAGGAACACCGGUGGCGAAAGCGGCUCUCUGGUCUGUAACUGACGCUGAGGCUCGAAAGCGUGGGGAGCGAACAGGAUUAGAUACCCCAGUAGUC
rnacentral:rRNA from 1 species